rnacentral:lncRNA from 1 species
CAUUUUCCUAGUGGAUUUGCUCAUGGAUGGAUGCCUCCCUCCAGCAGUCUGGAUGGGAUGCCAGCAGGGUCCAGCUUCACAAAGGUGGAACUACAGCGCAGCUCUGUGGUGUCAAGUUUGCCCACAGAUGAGGGCCUGCUUUCUGCAAGUGAUCUCUGCUGGUCAUUCCUAGAACUCUCCCGCGCCGUGACCUUCAGGAAGGCACACAGCCUGAAUCUUCCAUCAAUACCUUCUACAGUUGAUUAAAUACAGGACAGAAAACGAAUACAUCAGCUUGACAUUUUUCUGAAUCAAGGCUCUUGUCAUGGAGCGAAUGUUGCCAUUUGUUAUUAAAACACUCCUGCCUACACCUCCUAUCAGUGAAUUAACUUCCUACCCUCACCCCCGGCCCAUCGGGGGUUUACUUUGUCCUUCAC